ACGAAAUGACGAUAGAAAUUCAUAAGUCUGUCAAUCCACUGAUCCAAUAUCUGGUUUGAUGACACAGUGAAUCCCGACAGGUUCUGAUCGU